rnacentral:rRNA from 1 species
UGGGGAAUUUUCCGCAAUGGGCGAAAGCCUGACGGAGCAAUACCGCGUGAGGGAGGAAGGCUUUUGGGUUGUAAACCUCUUUUGUCAGGGAAGAAAAUUUGACGGUACCUGAAGAAAAAGCAUCGGCUAACUCCGUGCCAGCAGCCGCGGUAAUACGGAGGAUGCAAGCGUUAUCCGGAAUAAUUGGGCGUAAAGGGUCCGCAGGUGGCCAUUCAAGUCUGCUGUCAAAGACCGUGGCUCAACCACGGAAAGGCAGUGGAAACUGUUUAGCUAGAGUACGGUAGGGGUAGAGGGAAUUCCCAGUGUAGCGGUGAAAUGCGUAGAUAUUGNGAAGAACACCGGUGGCGAAAGCGCUCUACUAGGCCGAAACUGACACUGAGGGACGAAAGCUAGGGGAGCGAAAGGGAUUAGAUACCCCNGUAGUCA